GACGAACGCUGGCGGCGUGCCUAAUACAUGCAAGUUGAGCGAUGAAGAUUGGUGCUUGCACCAAUUUGAAGAGCAGCGAACGGGUGAGUAACGCGUGGGGAAUCUGCCUUUGAGCGGGGGACAACAUUUGGAAACGAAUGCUAAUACCGCAUAACAACUUUAAACAUAAGUUUUAAGUUUGAAAGAUGCAAUUGCAUCACUCAAAGAUGAUCCCGCGUUGUAUUAGCUAGUUGGUGAGGAAAAGGCUCACCAAGGCGAUGAUACAUAGCCGACCUGAGAGGGUGAUCGGCCACAUUGGGACUGAGACACGGCCCAAACUCCUACGGGAGGCAGCAGUAGGGAAUCUUCGGCAAUGGACGAAAGUCUGACCGAGCAACGCCGCGUGAGUGAAGAAGGUUUUCGGAUCGUAAAACUCUGUUGGUAGAGAAGAACGUUUGUGAGAGUGGAAAGCUCAUCAAGUGACGGUAACUACCCAGAAAGGGACGGCUAACUACGUG
rnacentral:rRNA from 1 species